rnacentral:lncRNA from 1 species
GAAAUAUUGCAUCUCUUCAUUCUCAGAUAAUGGAAGACUGCAGUGCAAUCCUGUUUUAUUCCAAGCAGCGGAGCACCACAACUAGAGGAAAAUCUCCAUCCUUGGAAGGCAUGCUGAGUUUGAGUUGUCUUCAGUUCCUUCCUUGGAAGAUGGGCUGUGUUGCUGUCUUAUCAAGUCCUGACCUUCUUCUGAGGAGAGUACCUCUGCAGAUCAGAAAUGACACCUCAGAAAUACUCAUGGUAAGUCUUCCUCUGCAGGAGAAAAUAUAGCCUUAGUUGAUGUUUG